AUUGAACGCUGGCGGCAGGCUUAACACAUGCAAGUCGAGCGGGGACUUCGGUCCUAGCGGCGAACGGGUGAGGAAUGCUUGGGAAUCUGCCCAGUAGCGGGGGAUAACGUUUCGAAAGGAACGCUAAUACCGCAUACGCCCUACGGGGGAAAGGGGGGGAUCUUCGGACCUCUCACUAUUGGAUGAGCCCAAGUCGGAUUAGCUAGUUGGGGGGGUAAAGGCCUACCAAGGCGACGAUCCGUAGCUGGUCUGAGAGGAUGAUCAGCCACACUGGAACUGAGACACGGUCCAGACUCCUACGGGAGGCAGCAGUGGGGAAUAUUGGACAAUGGGCGAAAGCCUGAUCCAGCCAUGCCGCGUGUGUGAAGAAGGCCUUCGGGUUGUAAAGCACUUUAAGCGAGGAGGAAUGGCUCUUGGUUAAUAACCUUGAGCAGUGACGUUACUCGCAGAAUAAGCACCGGCUAACUCUGUGCCAGCCGCCGCGGUAAUAC
rnacentral:rRNA from 1 species